GACGAACGCUGGCGGCGUGCCUAAUACAUGCAAGUCGAACGCAGUGGGGACGGGUGAGUAACACGUGGGUAACCUCCCAUCAGAGGGGAUAACACUUGGAAACAGGUGCUAAACCGGUACUGGUGGAUGGACCCGGGUUGUAUUAGCUAGUUGGGGAGGUAACGGCGUACCAAGGCCACGAGGCAUAGCCGACCUGAGAGGAUGACCGGCCACACUGGGACUGAGACACGGCCCAGACUCCUACGGGAGGCAGCAGUAGGGAAUCGUGGGCAAUGGACGAAAGUCUGACCGAGCAACGCCGCGUGAGUGAAGAAGGUUUUCGGGUCGUAAAGCUCUGUUGUUAGAGAAGCGGUAUCUAACCAGAAAGCCACGGCUAACUCCGUGCCAGCAGCCGCGGUAAUUC
rnacentral:rRNA from 1 species